GAUGAACGCUGGCGGCGUGCCUAAUACAUGCAAGUCGAGCGAACAGACGAGGAGCUUGCUCCUCUGACGUUAGCGGCGGACGGGUGAGUAACACGUGGAUAACCUACCUAUAAGACUGGGAUAACUUCGGGAAACCGGAGCUAAUACCGGAUAAUAUAUUGAACCGCAUGGUUCAAUAGUGAAAGACGGUUUUGCUGUCACUUAUAGAUGGAUCCGCGCCGCAUUAGCUAGUUGUUAAGGUAACGGCUUACCAAGGCAACGAUGCGUAGCCGACCUGAGAGGGUGAGCGGCCACACUGGAGCUGAGACACGGUCCACACUCCUACGGGAGGCAGCAGUAGGGAAUCUUCCGCAAUGGGCGAAAGCCUGACGGAGCAACGCCGCGUGAGUGAUGAAGGUCUUCGGAUCGUAAAACUCUGUUAUUAGGGAAGAACAAAUGUGUAAGUAACUAUGCACGUCUUGACGGUACCUAAUCAGAAAGCCACGGCUAACUACGUG
rnacentral:rRNA from 1 species